rnacentral:pre_miRNA from 13 species
GAUCUCUUUGGGGGCAAAUCCUUAUUUGCUAUGACAUAACUACAUUUGACUACUCAAAAUCAUUUGUUAUCACAAGCCCGACUACAUCAGUGACAUUAAGAAAUAGAGGACAACUAUUUUUCAGUAUAUAAGUUGGAA